UACAGAGGGGGCGAGCGUUGUUCGGAAUUACUGGGCGUAAAGGGCGCGUAGGCGGCCAACUAAGUCAGACGUGAAAUCCCUCGGCUCAACCGGGGAACUGCGUCUGAUACUGGAUGGCUUGAAUUCGGGAGAGGGAUGCGGAAUUCCAGGUGUAGCGGUGAAAUGCGUAGAUAUCUGGAGGAACACCGGUGGCGAAGGCGGCAUCCUGGACCGAGAUUGACGCUGAGUGCGCGAAAGCCAGGGGAGCAAACGGG
rnacentral:rRNA from 1 species